rnacentral:rRNA from 1 species
UAAGCGGAGGAAAAGAAACCAACAGGGAUUGCCUUAGUAGCGGCGAGUGAAGCGGCAAAAGCUCAAAUUUGAAAUCUGGCACUUUCAGUGUCCGAGUUGUAAUUUGAAGAAGGUAUCUUUGGGUCUGGCUCUUGUCUAUGUUUCUUGGAACAGAACGUCACAGAGGGUGAGAAUCCCGUGCGAUGAGAUGACCCAGACCUAUGUAAAGUUCCUUCGAAGAGUCGAGUUGUUUGGGAAUGCAGCUCUAAGUGGGUGGUAAAUUCCAUCUAAAGCUAAAUAUUGGCGAGAGACCGAUAGCGAACAAGUACAGUGAUGGAAAGAUGAAAAGAACUUUGAAAAGAGAGUGAAAAAGUACGUGAAAUUGUUGAAAGGGAAGGGCUUGAGAUCAGACUUGGUAUUUUGUAUGUUACUCUCUCGGGGGUGGCCUCUACAGUUUACCGGGCCAGCAUCAGUUUGGGCGGUAGGACAAUUGCAAAGAAAUGUGGCACUGCCUCGGUAGUGUGUUAUAGUCUUUGUCGAUACUGCCAGCCUAGACUGAGGACUGCGGCUUCGGCCUAGGAUGUUGGCAUAAUGAUCUUAAGUCGCCCGUC